GGGGACAAGGAGGCACACGGUGUGGGAACCAGGAAGUCAGGCUCUUCUAGGUGAGAGUUUAGGGCUCUUGACCCUCUUGGAAAUGAAACUGAUUAAAAGGAACUUCUUUAGCUGGUGGGAGGGAGUUAGAAAGCAAGCAGAAGGGGCUACGCGUUCUGGGAGCUUCCUCCCAUAGAGAAGGCAGUGGAAAAUUCUCUUUGUCAUUCCUGCAAAGGAGAGUGUGGCCAUCUCUAAGACAGUGCUGCAGGAGGGAGAGGAAAGAGAAGAAUAAGAAGAGCAGGCGGGUGUAGAGGGGAGGAGGAAACUUAACAACUUGCUAGUUUUAAUGAGGAUUAAAUAUGUUCCCUCAAACUCUCUGUAUCUUUUUAUUUCACUUUAAAAACUAUUUAUUUUUUAAGACUUUACUUUUUAGAGAAACUACCUGUAUCUUUAUAAGAAAUCUCUCAACUGAAGCUAGUUUAUGCUGAUAAUUUCCUAUCUUUAUAACCCAAAGCUGCUUUCUACAAAGACAUAAUUACCAUUCUUGGUGGAUGGGACCAGAUGUUUCCCCAAGACUGUGAGCUCUGAGGACACAUGCUUGAUUCUUCCUCGCCAAGUUCUCUGCACCUGGCACCUUGUCUGCCAUGAACGGGAGCCCAGGAAAUCCUUGUGAAAUGGAUAAAGGACUGAAGUAUUUAAUGAUCCCCACCCCUUCCUCCAACACCCCCAUGGUUUAGAGGAAGCAUGUUGGGGCCCCAGCACCUUCUAGAGACAAGCCUACCUCAAACUUCACGGAGCCUGUCUGCGUGGUGUCGAAGGCGUGGAAGAGAGCUGACCUCUCACAGAGAAAAAUAAGAAAAGGAGGAUCAAGAGAAUCAUGUCUAUUUGGAAAGCUUCCAAGAUAACCUGCCCUUUAGAAGCCAUGACUCUGGAAGGAAGAAAAGCUCAUUAAGGUGAGCCUGCAAUCCAUGAUGCUUUUUUUUAAAUUAAAAAAAUUAAAGUAUAGUUGACUUACAAUGUUGUGGCAAUUUCUGCUGUAAGCUUAGUGAAAAAGUGGAUUUUAAGUGGCAUGGGUGAUGAGAUUGAGAAACUGAGCAAAAAGGCUCUACUAGGCAAAGAACAUGAACAGAAUUCUCAGCAAUCUGGGAAGACACAAAGUGGAUCAGUGCCACAAAGACAUUCAGGACUUGAAGGGCCCAGAGUGGAGGGGCCAGAGGAGUGAGCCUGACAGCCUGAGCUGCUUAUUCUCUCAAAGCUUUUGCUAAUUCCUUAGUGACAGAGGUCAAGAAAAACAGCAAAAGCCACAGCCAAAAUGUGAUAGAACCAAAUGGAGCUUUUGAUGAGCUCACAGUGUUGAGAGGCAACUGUUGGGCUUCCAGGUCUUCUUAGGAGAAGGGUUCCUAACAAACACCAAGGCUUUCAGUUUGACCCCUAAAGGACUACAUUCUAGGAGUAAGAACAAGUUAGAAACAGAUCAGGCCUUAUGAGGAUUGAAAUCCAGCCUUAACGUGUCUCAAUCCCUAUUUGGAUUAAGUUUAUCUGCCCCUACUCUAUUACUUUCUAGAAGCUGAAGACUCAGCUAUAUAGUUUACAGUUUUUUUAUUCUAAUGUCUACGUUUCAUUGAAAACUUGCCAGAUAUGUUAAGAAAUGGGCCCAAAAGGAAAAAGAUAGAAUACAGUAAUAUAGUAAUAGAUUUAUGGAAUCUAGAUAUUACCUAUCAAGCAUGGGCUUUAAAAUGAUGAAAUAUUUUAAAUGAAAUAAUGAAAUAUUCUCAAGAAAAUAGAUUAAAAGAUGGAGAGUUCCACCAGAGAGACAGAAUACAUAUGAGAAAAUAAGUUUAAAAUUCUAGAAUUGAAAUAUGUAUUAUCCAAAAUUAACAACUAAAUAGAUCAACUUAACAGUAGGUUAGCAUAGUAAAAGAGAAAAUGAUUUGGUAGACAGGUCAAGAGAAAAAUAUACCAACUGAUGCACAGAGAGAAAAAAAUGGAAAUACAGAUAACAACAUAAGACAUGAUGAAAGGUUCUAACAUAUGUAUAAUUAAAGUUCCCAAAGAAGGAGAUAAAGAAUGAUGCUGAAGCAAUUCUGAAGAGACAAUAAAUGAUAAUUUUAAAAAUGAGGCCAAAAAAAAAAAAAUCAAGCCAAAGAUUCAAGAAGCACUACAAACCUCAAGCAGAUAGACACAGAGAAAAUGACAUCUAGGAACAUAUCAAUAAAACUGCUGAAAUACAAAGACACAGAAAAUCUUCAUUACAAGAGAACAAUCUUUAGGUUAUAACCAAACCCUAACUAAAUGCUGCUUGCAAGCAUAAGGGCACAGCAAAGGCAAAAGUGAAAGAAUAAAAAAGGAUACAGGAUGCAAACACAAAUCAAGAAAUGCUUGCAUGGCUAUUUUACUAUGAGAUAAGGCAAGAAGUUUUGCUGGAAAGAGGGAGUUUUCAUAAUGAAAGGGGCAGACAUAAAAAUUCUAAAUUAGUAUGCAAUAAUAAUAUAGCCUUGAAGUACAUUCAAAGCAAAGGCUGACAGACCAAAAAGGAGAAAUAGCAAAUUCACAAUCAGAGUUGGAGAUUUAAAAACACCUCUCUCAGUAACUGAUAAAACAAAAGAUGAAUAAAGGGUAUAGAAGAUAUGAGCAAUGUGAUAAACUUGGCCUCAUCAACACACAUAGAUCUUUUUACCCAACAGUCAAAGACUACUACACAUCCUUGUCAAGUACACAUAGAACACUUACCAAAACUGACCAUUUGGCUCCUAAAGCCAAUCUCAACAAAGUUCAAAGAACUGAAAUCAUUCAGAAUGCUUUCUGUCCAAAGUGAAAUUAAACAAAAAAUCAAGAGCAAAAAGAAAACAAGAAAACUUCCAAAUGUUUGGAAAUCAAGCCAUAUGAUUUUAAUUCCUAAGUGUCUCAUGUAUCAAAGAAGAAAUCUCAUAGAAAUCAGAAAGUAUUUUGAACCAAAUGAUAAUGACAUAUCAAAACUUGUGGGAUGCCAUUAAAACUGUACCCAGAGGGAAAUCUAAAAGAGCAUGACAUACUCGAGCUGCAAAUAAUUUAUGUGACAGUGUGCGCAAAAUUGAAUGCUGAGCUAUCUCUUGAUAUCAUAUUUCUAGUGUUUCUGGUGGUUCACUUUUAAUGUUGCCUAAACUAUGUUGGUUACAUUAGAGACUAUAUUAGUGAUGACAUGUAAUUUUUUUCUCUCCCCUAAACAUGGUUUGUCUGUUUAUUCCGGAUAAGUUUAGCACCAGCUUUUGAUUGACAACUUAUCCCAGUGUAAUCAGGGGUGAAAAUCCUUGUUGGUGCCUGAAUGGAGCAGAGGAGAAAAUAAGUUCUAUUUGGUCCUUAAGCGUAAUCCUAGAGGCUGAGAUUCUUACAGCAAAGGCUUGGAGGUGAGUCAUAAACUCAAGCAGACACACACAGCACACAACUCAUCAGCUCUGAAUUUUAUAAACUUAACGAUGAGUCCCAGGAGUGCUGAGCUGAGCCUUGAUAAAGAUUUUUCUGAGCAUUCCAGACAUCUUUUUUCAGUCUUCUUGGUUCAAUAAAACUCAAAUCAUGUUUUGCUCCAAGCGUUUGUUCUCUUAAUCUUGAAACCCUCCUGCCCCUUUUAAGCAAAAUUGAAUUUAUACAUUUCUCAUUCAUUUACACCUCAGUCCUGAAAAUGUUCUGAAAAAAACAGAGUCCUACCAAAAAAAAAAAAAAAAAAAAAAAAGAAAAAAGGAAAAUCUUUGAGUUUUGCUACUAUCUAUCUAUCUGCUACUUCCAUUAGAUAGAAUGUUUUCUGGAUGAAAUGUCCUAAAAAUUCUUCCAUAUCUAUAGUAUAUUUCACUUCUCUGACCUUUCUCCUCAAAUGGGGGUGUUUUUGAGGGUGGCCUUCAACACACUGGGUGGGGGUGUGGAAGGGGCAUAUCAGAUGCACCUUGCAAUUUCUUGGGAGGGUUGUGGUGGUAGAAAUUGUCAGGAAUGUAAUACAAUUAUUAAAAGUCCAUAAAGUCACUGCACAGAUGGUGACAUAAGUCACAAUUCUGUUGGCUGUGUGAUGGUGUAACAGUCACACAUUUUCCAUCAAGAAAAAAACCAAGAAACCCCUGGUAAAGAAAUGAUUCAUCCAGACCCAGAGUUGGCAGGAAAAGGAGCCCUAAACAGUGUUUCAGGACAAGGAGCAAGGCCACAUACAUUAGAGACUCUUGUGUCCCCUCAUCUCCAAAGCAACAUUUCUGUCCUGCUAAGCCCCUGGCCAGGCUUCAGAGCAGAAAUUAAUGUCAGGUUCACUGCAGUGUCUCAGCCACAGGCAAACAUCUCUAGAUAACGUUUUAAGUGGACCUCUUUGUCUGGAAAAACUGUCCCAGGAUGAAACUUUUGAUGAUUUACUUAGGUAGCUCUAGCAGUUUCUACAGCUCUAGGAGGGAAUCAGUUAUAUCCUGCCACCAGCUAGUAUUCAGGAAGCAGUGGGGAAACCUCCUGCCGUUUCUCCUUUGGUCUCAGUUGGACAUUGCUCUGAAGUUCUAGCACAUGGAGACAGCCAGUUAAUGAGUGGUUAAUGAGCAGCUGCCCUGCUUUGGGGACAGAGGAUAUGCUACCCGGGAUGAGUGGGUCUAGAAUAUAUCUGCAGAAAAUCAGAGGACUACAUGGUGGAAUAUAUUAUGUAUAUAUUUUACAGUUGCACCUGAGGCAUAUGGAAGUUCCCAGGCUAGGGGUCGAAUCAGAGCUGCAGCCGAGGCCACAGCCACAGCCACAGCCACGGCAACACUGGAUCUGAGCUGCAUCUGCAACCUACACAGCAGCUUGUGGCAACACUGGAUCCUUAACCACUGAGCGAGGGCAGGCAUCCAACCAGCAUCCUCACAGAGACAAUGUCAGGUCCUUAACCCACUGAGACACAAUGGGAACUCUCAUGGUUGGAUUUUGUUACUUCCCUUGACCGAGAGGCAAAAAUGUUUUAUUGCAAGUGAGGAGAAGGAAAAAAUAGUAUCCGGGGGAAAAGGAUGCUUUUAGUUUAAAGAUGGAAAAACGAGGGUGCGGCAAGAGGCUGAAGGAAUUACUCAAAGGAAAAGUAAAAUUGCCACAUGAAUAAGACAUCUCAGUUUGGCAUAGAAUUUUCUCUUCCAUGGGAACUCACUGGAUCAAGGUCAGGCUAAGGUGUCAAAGGCCUUUCAGUCUGAUUUUUUUGAAGAGUAGGUCACUGCCAUCCAGAUAACUUGACAACUUGCUGAGUGGUGGCUUCCAAGCAGAGGGCUUGCUUUGAUGGGCUGGUAAAUGUUUAACAACUGGCUCUUGGGGGAGGGGCGGAGCGAAGCAUGCUUGAUACCGUUUUCUAACUGCCUUGGUAUAAAUAUUCCCACCAUAGCCUACUUCAGACUAUCAACAUGAAGUCAUUGAAUACAGGUUUGGAAAGUGAAGCUCAUGAUCCACCAGUAUGACCUGACUCCAUCACGUUAUUGCUGCUAUUUCAGGAGAGUGAGCGUCUGCUUAACUAUCCCAAACUGGUGUGCCAAAGACCUGAAAACCAAUGCAAUACUCGAAAAGUACUCCAUUUCAUAGAAUAGGUUUAGCCCCUGUAAUCCAACCAAAUAAACCCUUUCUUUGUGGUUGGUGGGAAAAUAAACUUCUGUACACCACUGCAGAAUCAUCACAAGCAGGGAAACAAUGGAGACUGGCCAAGUAAGCUUUUGCUGGAAUUCAGUAUUAAUGUAUCCUCAGAGUAAGGGCCUGUCUUGGUGAGCUCAGAGAGCAUGGUAAUAGUUUUAGAAUUGAUCUAAUCAUUUCACUGCCCCUAGGAGGCAUGUGGUCAUUAGACUAAUUUGAGUUAUAAUCAUACCUGUCUUGUAGCUGUGAAUCCAAAUGAGAUAAGACAUGUAAAGUGCUCCCUGCAUACAGUAGGUGCACAAAAAUGUCUUUCCCACCUUCUCGUGGAUUAAGCUUGGGAUUUUAAGGGUCAUUCUCAAUAGCAGAAUUCAAUAAUCAUUCUGUUAGACACUUCCUAGGUCACGAUAACACCUCUUCUGAUGGAUCUAGUUAAUUACAUGUGCUUCUCUUCAAAACUGGAAGAUUUUCUUGUUCAGUGAUUUCCUCCGUCAGAGAGGCACCCAGUUGCCAGUUCAGGUUGGACGUUAAAUAGCCAAAGUGGAUAUUAUCAUUCGAUAUUAACUGCCACGGACAUAAGCAAACGCAAGACUCUGGAUGAAAGAGCAUCAAGCACAUCCGUCUGCAGACCGCCGUGGCACAGGCCAGAGUUUCUGGGGGUGGCGGGCACCAGAAACACAGGACCUGGCGUGUUAGUAAAUAGACAUAAUAACUGCCGGUCAUUGAGAAAAUUUCCUGCCUCUUCUCCCCUACCGUUAUUACAUGGCUCUAUGUCCUCUGCCCUUAAUAAUCCAGACAGUCACUGAGUGCAUUGUUUUGGUCCAUUUCCUAACUGGAGAAGGGAACUGGAUGUUACCCUCAACUGGAACGCGAGCUGCCAAGUGCAAGGACUGCAGCCAGGUCGUCUGAGAAUGUCUGUCUGCCUGCCCAGAGGCAGGGAGAAGAUGGCAGAGUGUCAUCUCCAGGACUCAGCUCGGAAGCCUCUUAACUGUGCACUUAAUAAAUGAAGCCUUGGCAGACACACCUUGAAUUAUUAAUGAAGUUAUUCAGCUUUGAUUGUUUCCUUCUUUGGGGGAAAGGUUAUUCACUCAAAUGCCUUUGAUUAGACUAUGCAAUACAUCACAAUUGGGCCUAUUUUAUGUGCAACUUUAUGGUGAUAAUAGUUCUGUCUCAUUUAGAAGCAAAUCAGACAUUAUGAACUUCGUGAUUUAUUAAUGUAUUGAUUUCUAUAAAUGUCAGUGCAUCUCACAUCCCGUCAGAGAGCUCGAGAACAAUCAGUGCAGGGCCAAUAAAAAUGUAAAAUGAAACCAUCAUAAAAAAGGAAAGACUGCCUGUUAAAAAGCUCUGUUGCCUCUCUGAAUUGUUUCAGCGUCCAGCUCAUUACCAUGAAGGCACCACCCUCCCCCGCCUUGUCCCACAGGAAACAGCCUGCACAAGGCUGUCUGGGAAAGCUCUGUCUGGUUGUCUGUUCUGUGCAGACUGAAAUAAAAGACAAGACAGAACGUUAAGUCGGACCUCGAGGGUACCCUGGAGUCUGUGCCCAGACUUCUCAUUCUGAAGAAUAAGGCGUGCCUCUCCAUCAGCUUCGCCCCACUAUGACCCAUCACCUCCCUGUUGAAUCUUCUCAGUCAAGCCCAGAUUCCCCAGCUGGCAUGGAAUGGUCUAUCCUGGGGGCCCCGUUUACUGUUCCAGAACACUUCCCCACAACUCCGGGGCAUGCAUCUUUUGCAAUAGCCGCAGAGUCUCCUGGUAUGUAGACCCUUGCCUCUGCCAGAGCAUGUGAUCUGCUGACCCCAGUCAGCCACCCUUGAAACCUGGCUAAGAGCCAUCUCUUCUGGGCAACUCUCUAAGACCACCGCACAGAAAGCAUCCUGUUCUCUCUGUCCAAACUCCCGGAGCACUUGCCUCUUAACAGUCCCCCAGUAGGUAUCGGUAUCUACCUUUGGGGGUUGCAGCUUUCAUUUACAGAAGUGGGGUGAGGUGGAGUGUGGGUAGGGAGGCUGUCUGGUUCCCACUUUUGUUUUAUUCUCAUUCACUUCAUUCCACUCCCUCGGGAUGUCUAGUAACUGCUUUGCACAUAGUAGGUGCAUAGAAAGCACUCAUUGUUUGUUAAAAGAAUGUAGAGCUAUUAGGAGCUGAAUGGGAAUUACAUUGAAGCCCAAGGCAGCAGCCAAGAGACUAUCUGGAAAGCAUUUGGCUUAGUGGCUAAUUCCAUCAUUUGAGAGUUCGGUUCAGAAAUCACCAUCUGGCAGUCCACAGAGUAUAGAUGUUAUCUCAUGUCUUUUGAGUAUGAGUUUUGCCAACAUGUAUUUCACAUAAAAUAUGGACUUUUGGCUUCUCUUCAGAAAACUGAAGUUACAGCCAUGCAGGCAUGCAUUAUCACACAGCACAAUUGGCUGGGGCAGAGGAGCAGCUCCUCACUUUAGACAGAGUGUGUGUACUCUAAUAAACCACAGACCCCACUACUCCCUAUUUUCUCUCCAACACUAAGCCCAAGGGAGGGUUGUUUUCUCUUGUCACUCAUUUACAUUACUUGCUGAAGUCUGUGAUCUCUGUUUAACAGCCCACUCCCCUCCUACUCCAUACCAUAUUAUUCCAAGUGACUUUUAUGUGUUUUGUGAUAAUCCAGAAACAUGACCGAGUUUUAUUUUGGGGGGUUCCAAGCAACCUGGAGAAAUAAGAGUGCCCUGUGAUUAUAGGGGACCUAGAGGAUUCAGGCUGUGUCCUGAGAUGAUGCUUCUGUGCUACUAACAUCACAUGGGUCAAGACUGGGUUUGACUUGCAGGUUCUGCUUCAGUGUAUUUUAGUAGCCUUCUAUUUUAUGGAGCACUUUCAUAUUGCUAGCUCCUGUGAGAUAUGUGUUAUAUCAUUCCCAUUUUACAGAGGAGAAAACAGAUUCAGAGAAGAAAGAGGAAAUAUUAUCAUUCCCUUUUUACUAGGAAAAAUGGCAUCAGAGAUCUUAUGAGACAUCCCUGAGGUCACAAAGAUGGUGAGCAGGAGAGCAAAGACUAAUCUCAUCAUCUGAUUGACAGAUACCUUCUGGCAUAAGGGACCAUCCUAGGGGUCACUCCUAGGCCUACCCCUAUGUCUUUGUGGUUGUUUCUCUGUCUCAGCAAGUUGGGACCACCUGCCUCUACCCAAGCUUCUCACAUUUUCUGUGCUUGAGAACUUGUAGAUCCCAGUCUGUGGCAGGAGUGGAGACAACAAACAGUUUCAGGGGUUGCCUCCUCACCUCUUCCCAUGUCCCCAGCUCUUGCCAUCCAUUUAGCGUUCCAAAUUUUGUUUCCCUCUUCUGAGCCAAAGAACAGCCUUCAGUCUGGGUGACAAGUUGUAGAAGUCACUGAGAAUAAAAGUUACGGAGAGGUACUUUUAUCCUGCCCUCUAACUUCACAGAUAUGACUCCUGGGGCCCAGAGAGGAAACUGGACUUGUCCAAGGUCACUCAUUGGAUCCCUGGCAGGGCAGGAUUAAACUCAGGCACACAUUUGGAUGCACUUCCAGCUCCUUUGAAGUAGAUAAUCAGUAUGACAAGAUCCUCCUCCUGCAGCAUCCAUCACAUGGCAUGGUGCUGUGAUGGAAAAGAGUGGAAGAACAUGAGUCAGAAAAAAUCAGAAGGAACAUAAUUUAAGUUUGAAUGAAGGAGAGUCUGAAGACAUAUAAGCUGAAGGGGAAAGUUUUCCAGGACACCACUCAGCCAUUCCAGAGCCCACCUGCCCAGAAGGAAACUUGACAAAUUCAUCUGCCCAGAGGUUUUCCUGCCUUCCUGUACCUUCUAUCCUCUGGAGCCCUAGCAGGUAUGAACUUAACCCAAUGAGCUUAGUGGUAUUUUAGGCACAGCCAGACACGAGGAACUAAAUUAAGAGCAGAGAUACUUCCAAGUUUCUGGUAAGUCAGUACUUUGUUCUCUUGCCUUCUCUAGCCCAUAACUCUCCUGGUUUGUACCUGCUCUUUCCUCUCUCUCUACUGCUUCCUUCCAAACAACCCUCUACCUUUUAAGACUGGUGCCAUCCCUGACUUUCUCCUGCCUCCACAUCCUCCCCCUUUGCAAGAUAACACAUGCUCAUGGCUCUAGAUGUCAGCUCUGGGCAAAUGGCUCCAGUAUCAGCCUCAUUUCUGUCCUGCAUUUUUACCUGUGGUCUUACUUCACCUCGCACACAACAUUCUCAUUUCAGUUCCACCAAUGUGAAUGACUGAGCAUCUGUUAGGUGCAAGGCCAUAUACCAGGAACUAGACUUACUCCUUGGCCACUUUCUGGAAUUUCUGGGAAUAAAGACAUGAGGAGGAGUGGUGGUUCCCAACUUCUGCCUUGUUGUCACCAUGCAAAGACUUAAAUUCUUUCAAGAAUUUUGGCCUCAAAGACACAUUCUCUCCCAGGUGUCUUCCGACCCUGGGCUUUGGGAACAUCCGUCUCUCAGGUGAAUUAUCUCAGUGGUCACCGGACAGACUUCACUGCUAUUGUCUAGAAAUGGUGGGGUGCUUCAUACAGGUUAUCUCCCUGGAUUAUCAUAACAUAUCUUUCCAGAAUAUUUCCACUUUGGGAAAAAUAUCAGAGGGAAAUUUAGGUCUCAUAGGUAGUGGGUUUCUGAAUAUUAAACCCAGGAUUAUCUGCCUCCAAAGUCCAGAAUUUCCCACACAUCUAGCUAAUAAUUGAGGAAUCUGUGGUUUGGUAUUAGUGAGAGACCCGUGAAUUGUUUAUCAAAAGGACCUGCUUUUUUCUCACAUCAUAUUUCCAUCCAGCAGAAUGUGAGGUCUGCACAAAUCUUCCCUCUCCACGUAACCUCCCUUUAAAUUUUUACUGAGAUUCCAUCUUUUACUUGAUGAGAAAUUUUUGUCCUAACGGGAGCACUUGUGGAAUCCAUUUCAAAAUUGCUUUUUCUUAUUUCCAUAUAGAUUGUAAGGCGAAUAUGUUUGCAUUGUAGAUAUGAGUCUGCAUAGAAUUGGACACUUUUCUCGCUUUUCCCAAGUUAUUACUUUUUGGGCAAGAAUCUUUACUUUGUUGGCCCUUUUCAAUUAUUUAUCAGCACUAGCAGACCUCUUUUUCCCCUCUGGGCCGUUUGCCCUAAAGAAGCAAAGGACUGGGCAUUUUUGAGACAGUCCGUCUGGGUGAGGAAGGUGGGGGUGGGG